CCGUAUAAGGGGCAAAAUCAUUGAAAAGUGAUGGCGCAAAGCUAUAGGGGCUAACGCAUCUGCUAUGCCAGCCAGCUGCCGGA
rnacentral:ncRNA from 1 species